CAUGAUUACGCCAAGCUAUUUAGGUGACACUAUAGAAUACUCAAGCUAUGCAUCCAACGCGUUGGGAGCUCUCCCAUAUGGUCGACCUGCAGGCGGCCGCACUAGUGAUUGUAGUCAUAUGCUUGUCUCAAAGAUUAAGCCAUGCAUGUCUAAGUAUAAGCAAUUAUACCGCGAAACUGCGAAUGGCUCAUUAUAUAAGUUAUCGUUUAUUUGAUAGUACCUUACUACUUGGAUAACCGUGGUAAUUCUAGAGCUAAUACAUGCUAAAAAUCCCGACUUCGGAAGGGAUGUAUUUAUUAGAUUAAAAACCAAUGCCCUUCGGGGCUCACUGGUGAUUCAUGAUAACUCCUCGAAUCGCAUGGCCUUGUGCCGGCGAUGGUUCAUUCAAAUUUCUUCCCUAUCAACUUUCGAUGUUUGGGUAUUGGCCAAACAUGGUUGCAACGGGUAACGGAGGGUUAGGGCUCGACCCCGGAGAAGGAGCCUGAGAAACGGCUACUACAUCCAAGGAAGGCAGCAGGCGCGCAAAUUACCCAAUCCCGACACGGGGAGGUAGUGACAAUAAAUACUGAUACAGGGCUCUUUUGGGU
rnacentral:rRNA from 1 species